GUAGAGGUGUGGACCGGUGGGAAGUCGCCGGCUGCCGCGGCUUCGUCAGCGGCUGAGUCGAGCUGAGCAAGAACGAGUCGCCAUCAACAUCAACGACUAAUGCGCCAGCUAUUGUUACUAACGCUACAACCGCGGACACUGUUGUCGUGGAUGCAUUUGUGCCAAACGAAGGGAGCACUGCUUGGCGACGCUCAGCCGACGCUGUUCUCAGCGCGGAGGGCAAAACGAAUCUGUCAAACGCUGUGCAGCGGUAAGCGUGUACAGGCGAAAGUUCCCCCUUCUCUGUGAAGCUUUAACGGCAUGAACUACUUCAAUAAACGCGACGUCAUCAAUCGUUCAAUGGAACAUCAGCUAUUUUGACAUUAGUCAAACAUUGGCUGCUCCUUGUCAUUGUGAAAUUUGCCUACUUAGAAUGUAUUAGAAAUAAAUCCAUAGGAACACCUCUGCUGCAUCGAUAGGCUUAUACAUGAGUGCUUACUUUUGCGUUCAGAUAAAUAGAAAAAAAAAUAUAUACAUAGUUGAACAACGUCACUCAGUAUAAUAGUCAGUGCCGUUAGAAUAUCUAACGGACUUCACUAUAAUUACAUAGUAACUAUAUACUAAAUAAGUGAUCAUCAGCGGAGGGUAGAGGUGACGUUUCUAAGGUAUUGAGUAGUGGCCAAUAACAACUUUUGAUCUUCCUAAGAAACAGCGCUUUGACGUCCGUUAGCAGAAGUGGGGUCCAUAACUGGCUCCAUCAUACGGCCGUAUAUAUAGUGUUUGUUGACAUGUCGAAAGAAGCACGAGUCAUCAACCAAUACUGACUGAGCUCAAUCCAUUCCGCGAAACAUUAUAUAGCCGCAUAUAGUACUCGCUCGGCUGAUUUUAUUAUGAGCCAUUGUUUCGAGUAAAACACUAGGACUUACCUAC